GAUGAAGAACGUAGCGAAAUGCGAUAAGUAGUGUGAAUUGCAGAAUUCAGUGAAUCUUCGAAUCUUUGAACGCACAUUGCGCCCUUUGGUAUUCCUUAGGGCAUGCCUGUUCGAGCGUCAUUUAAACCUUCAAGCUAAGCUUGGUGUUGGGUGACUGUCCGCUUCACUGCGGACUCGCCUCAAAAUUAUUGGCGGCCGGUACAUUGGCUUCGAGCGCAGCAGAAACGCGAACUCGGGCCCGUCGUAUUGGCUCCCAGAAGCUAUCUUCACAAUUUUGACCUCGGAUCAGGUAGGGAUACCCGCUGAACUUAAGCAUAUCAAUAAGCGGAGGA
rnacentral:misc_RNA from 1 species